GAGGAGCGAGCAGUCGGGAAGUCAGCCCAAGAAGAUUGUCCCUUGGACCAAAGGGCACUUCCCAAAAAGACUCCACGGGGGUGGGGGGCUACAGCGGGGCGGCGGGAGGAGCCGCGAGUGCGCGGUGGCGUGUACCGGAGCGCCUCCUAACCGUAAAUCAGAUUAGGGGAGAACUGUCCAACCAAUGUGGGCUUGGAGCCCCGCCUCUUCCCCCCACCUCCUGGAUUCCAGCCUCUGCGACUGACUGGGUUACCUUGCUGGGUUUCUCGCGUACUUGCAGAGACCACCAAAUAGACCAUCUCUCCAGCACCGGAGGCACACGAAUUCUUCAUUUAACAUAAGGCCAUUUCUCUGAGAUAUCUGGUAUUUUUUCUUCCUGCUUCAACCCCAACCCCCAAACGAUGAGUAUAAGCAGCUAUUUAAGAGUUUAAAUAAAUAACAAAGAAGUCAUUCUUCCAGACAAACAGGCCAUCCUCUGAGACAACUGCAAACAUCUGCAAGGAUCUUCAGGAGUUCUGUUGUGCUCGCUCUGGAAAGACCAUCACAGCUGGGCCUAUGGAUGGUUUACCUUCCGUCAUAGGAGGAGGUGGGACAGAAGGUCGUGGGACCUUCACCUGAGUAUGCAGCUGUCCCUCUCAACCAGCUGUAUGCAGUUCUGUCCUAACUGCAGAUGGGGGGAGGGACUAGAGGAUAGAAGUGGGAAGAGGCCAGGGGAAGUCUCCUCAGGGAAGUCAACUUCAAGGUCAUAGCUGCUUCAGGGUCAUCCAUAUCUCCACUCCUCACCCACUGCUCUAGGCCAGAAGAGGGCAUCUGACCUCCUGGAACUGGAGUUACAGGUGGUCAUGCACCAUCAUGUGGGCACUGGGAACUGAACAAAGGCUCUCCAUCUCUCCAGUCCUGGCUUGUGGCUCUUGAUGAGACUGGCACAAUGGGCAUAUAGGAGUUGGAGGGACCAUCCGCAUCUUUACAGAGUCCAUCCCAGAGCAUCUUCUGUAUGUGACUUGUCAGAAGAUGCAGAUACGAGCAAGAGGAGCUCCAUCUGAGGCUCUGCUCAAGGCUUGGGGCUCGGGCCCCUACCUUUGUUCGUAGGAUGAUGUUGUUCUGCUCAAUGCUUCUUGAUAGGCAUGUAUCCUGUGGUACCAGUACAAAGGGAAGCCCAUGGGGAAGAUGGCAAAUCCCCAUCAUCUUUCCCCAACACCUCAUGCCUCGUAGAACUGAAUGCAGCCCUGUCAUAAGCGGCCUGUGGUAAAUGAUAGUGUCAGAAAACGCUGAUAGGUGGGGGGUGUGACUCACUUUGCAGAGUGCUGGCCUAGUUUGCAUGAAGUCCUAAAUUCAACUCCUGGGAUCCCACAAACUGUGUGUGGUGACACCGGCCUGUAAUCCCAGCACUUAGGAAAUAAAGUUCGGAGCAUCAGAAGUUCGAGGAUGUCAUUAGUUUGCUUGUGGAGUUAAGGCCAGGCUGGAAUAUAUAAAACUGUCUCAAAAGUAAGUCAGGUCACCAGGGCAGGGAGGAAGAAUGCGAUUCUGUAAGAGAGACUGGGUGGAUAUGAGGCGGAACAGAAGAAAAGGGUGAAUCUUAGGGCUCUGGGACCAUACAGACUGGUGGAAGGACUGUAACCUUUGUAAGGUUUCUCCUUGUAGAAAGGCUUGGAAAGAGGACAUUUCAAGAAUUGAGGAUCUAUACAUUUAUUUAGCUAAUGCUCCUUGAGAACACAGUCUUGUCAGAGUCAGGCUCCCAGAAGGCCCUGAAAAGAGAGGGUGUAUUAUAGCCAGCACGACAGACAAACAGAUUCCAUCCAGGAUGUGCUAAGACCAUCCUUCUUCAUGGUCCAGUGCUAUAGAUUCACUGCCCACCAUGCUUUGCUUCUGAGCACCGGCUGGGAGACAGAAGGGAGCCACAGAUAAGUAAAAAUCAAGAUGGACGUAAUGUGGUACUGACAGGGAAGGCGGGGAAGGAGAAAAGUGUCUAUAAGCCAGCUGGCAGAGAAAGCUCUCCUGAGGAGAGUUUGUGCGUUUAAUGUAGCAUUUAGGGUUUUCAUUUGCUAUGUAUCAUUGAUGAGCUUAAAUCAAUGGCUUUGGGGAUCGAGUUCACGCUCCGUAUUCUUCAGCCUGGAGCUGAAAGUCAGAGGGAAUGUUGGGAGCCAGGUCUCUGCUCUCUCUUGGGCCUUUCUUUCCCCUUUCCCAUUGGUUUCUAUGUAGCAUCUCUCCUGUGAGUGGCAGGGAAUUUGAAGCAGCUACCACACUCUAGGUAAUGAGCCAAGUGGCUCUUUGCCAGUGAUGAGCCACUUGGGAACCACAUACCCAAAUGUUAAAUUAUUGUUGACAUUUAACAAAAAAAAAAAAAAAGAUUUUCAUCUGUUGAACAGGAAGAGAUGUAUAAAAUUCAAAAGAAUAUGAGCAAGCAAACACACACACACACACAUACAAUAAAACAACCUAUGAACAAGC
ensembl:processed_transcript Gm12522 predicted gene 12522